UCUCACUGGUGCGGGAGCUGGGUGGUGUCAAAGAUCAAAGAGCUAGCCAGGAAAACUCCAUUUUCAAAGAGGGGCUCAAGGAAUGAGCUCUCUCUCUUGCCACAUGAACAUCAGGUAUGUGUCUUGCCUCAGUAGCUGUCUAGGAAUUUUGAGUAGUUAAUGAAUGAAGAGAAGCAGGUUCCUCUUAGGAUGGCUCAUCUCAGCUGACACUUUUUUGGAAUGAGAUGAAUCACAUCCCUCGGAUAUCCUUCUUCCACUUAUGGUUAGAAAAAGAGCCCAUAAUACAAGGUGAGUUUAGCAAACUGACAGCUGUACCUUAUCAAUGAGAAGAAGGAACUGAAAGACAGUGAACCUCAGGUGAAGGGAAUUAAUGGGGCACCAUCAGAGACUGACAGAGCUGUUAGUUCUGCUUCUGCUACAGCCAGCCAGGUACUGAACCACUGCAUUUCCACAUAAAAACAGUCAGGAUCAGCUACACCAUAUAUAUAUGAUGACUUCGAAAUAUUCUACAGGUUUCAAAUGUGUGUGAACCCUGCACAGAUGCUGUGUCCUUCCAGAGACUUAAACAGAGCUCAGAACCUGGAGAACACAGCUGCUACCUGCCCAUGUCUGCCAGACACCAAGGUUGGCUGUCUGAAAUCUCUUUGCCUUCAAGUAUUUUACAUUUUAUAUUCUAGUUGGAUUCUGUGAAGGAAAAUGUCAAUACAUGCUGACCUAAAAAUGCUCAUCCCAUCAGAUGUCAUUAAUGAAAUCUGAUCUCCAAUAUGCAGAGGAAAUAGCUAUGCUAUAAGAUUAUUGUCAUCUUACUGACUUGAAUGAAACUGUCCUCAAAUCCUUGCAUUUUCUAAUCAGUUAGAUCCCCCCCAACCACCCCAAUAAUGACUAAUUCAGUUUUUCCAGAAGUGAUAAUAUUUAAGUACCUAAAAAAAAAUAUUUGAAAAGUUGCCUAGAACAUAUUCAUGUACCUUAAUUAUUAAGGUGUUCAUGUAUCAAGGAAAUUUCAUAAGUUUUCAAAUGGACCAUAAAAUACAAAGAUCGUAAUAGAAUUCCACUUGUUGUAUUUACAGAGAUUUCAAAGUGUCCUAUUUUGUACCUGAAUUAUUCCAUUACAAUCAAGGAGAAAUAAUAUAGACCCCAAUGACUUUUGGCUCCAACACUAAGUUCUGUACAGGAAAAAAACCCAUAACACAUCUUCCCAAUUUUCAAGCAAUAUUUCAGGCAACAAAUUAUUAUUUUUUAAAUUAGAAACAGUUCAAACAGGUCUGUUAUCAGUUACUUUUACCAAGGGUUAAAGGAAUCCCCAAAACUUUUGAUUCUUUAAUAUAGUUCUUUUUUUCCAAAGGUUUUUUUUUUAAAUUUUUGUUUUUGUUAUUAUUUUUGUUGGAAUGUGGAGCAAAAAUAGGGAUUUAAGGCUCAAUUUCUGCUUGCUGAAAUGUUUUCAAGCUUUAGUCAUUAAUAAAUUAGAUCAUUUGCAAUUUAAUACCUUCAAUUUCAGUUGAAUUUUAAGUUGCAUUUUUACAGUACAAGUACAGGUAAUGUUGCUUUUUUCAGACUUUUCAUACAGAGACUUGAAGUCAUAUUUACCUAAUUUUAUAUGGUAAUCCUCAAACAUCAGAAUUAUAAACCUGGAUAAAGAUUUAAACCUGGAUAAUAAUUAAAACCUGGAUAAAAAAAACCCUGGAUAAUAAUAUUUAAUCGGCAUUUUUCUCUGUUUAAUGUAAAUUUGAACAAUCACCUGUUUAUUUUUUCUCAAAGAAACCUGAAUAUUCUCAUACAAGAUUUUCUCAGUCACACCUUAUGUAUGAUCUAGUUAGGUUUUUGGAAUAGAACAUGCUUCAAGGAAUUUGAAAUAAAGUCUGUGCAAUUUUUGAGAGUGCUCAUAGUGGUUUUCUUUCUUUAAGCUGACAUCUAAAGAUUUUUCUGUAUUAUUUUACAUCAUAUUUCUAUGUUGUAACAUACUACAUUGCAAAACUAAUUGCAGAAGAUUAUUGUUUUGUUCUUUGAAUUCCUUUAUCCUUUCCAUUGAAUAAGAAAGUCAAGGUGUCAGAUCAGAUUAGGUCAGAGCAAAGUACAAUGCAGUUCAGCAUCUCCUUUGAAAACAGUGAUACCUGAUGCUUCAGAAGUUGUUUACAAAAUCUUGGAAAUCUGAAAUAAUUUGAUUACACAACUAUCUUUUUUAUUUAACUACCUCAAGAGAUUGAUUGAUCUAAUUUAAGUAAUUUAGGAAAUAUUUUGUUUACAUCUAUUUCCUUUUCCUGUGUUACCCAAUACUUGGAGAAAACAGGCUUUAUCUAUGUGCCCAUGUCACUCUUUAAACCACUGCAGUGAAGCUCUGUGACAAAUCAUUCCAAAUUGAUGUCCAAGCCAUCUAAAAGACAGAUAAUGUUAUACUGUGAGAAAACCCACUUCCAUCAGUUCAUCUUUUUUAACAUUGAAUUAUUAACAACUCCUCAUAAUGAUUCUUAUGGUCUUGGAAGAAUUUGUACACACCUACCUAGAAAGUACUUCGAAAUAACAAGUGACUAAAGAAAUUCUGCUUGCUGCAGUACCCAGUUUCACAGGCAGAAAAACGAGAUCUCUGUAAUCCUGUUUGCU